ACUUAAGUAGCUCAAAUUUAGAGUGUAGUACUGAAGAUACUAGGGUAGUUUUAACUCUUAGGUA
rnacentral:tRNA from 1 species